AGGACGAACGCUUGCGACGUGCCUAAGAAAUGCAAGUCGAACGGGGUCAGACUUCGGUUUGGCCUAGUGGCGAACGGUCGCGUAACACGUAGGCAACCUGCCCUGAAGCGGGGGACAACAGCUUGAAAGAGCUGCUAAUACCGCAUGUGUUUGUUUGGUGGCAUCAUCGAAUAAACAAAGCCGUAAGGCACUUCAGGAUGGGCCUGCGGCCUAUCAGCUAGUUGGUGAGGUAACGGCUCACCAAGGCUUCGACGGGUAGCUGGUCUGAGAGGACGAUCAGCCGGAUUGGGGACUGAGAUACGGCCCAGACUCCUACGGGGGGCAGCAAUUAGGAAUCUUGCACAAUGGGGGAAACCCUGAUGCAGCGACGUCGCGUGAAGGAUGAAAUCUUUCGGGAUGUAAACUUCUUUUAUCAGCCAUGAAAAAAUGACAGUAGCUGAUGAAUAAGCCCCGGCUAACUACGCGCCAGCAGCCGCGGU
rnacentral:rRNA from 1 species